UACAGAGGUCUCAAGCGUUGUUCGGAUUCAUUGGGCGUAAAGGGUGCGUAGGUGGCGGGGCAAGUUUGGUGUGAAAUCCUAGGGCUCAACCCUGGAACUGCACUGAAUACUGCUUUGCUAGAGUACUGGAGAGGGAACUGGAAUUUACGGUGUAGCAGUGAAAUGCGUAGAUAUCGUAAGGAAGACCAGUGGCGAAGGCGGUUUUUCUAGUUUAUUCCUGACGUUGAGGCGCGAAAGCUAGGGGAGCAAACAGG
rnacentral:rRNA from 1 species